AGAGUUUGAUCCUGGCUCAGGAUGAACGCUAGCUACAGGCUUAACACAUGCAAGUCGAGGGGAAACGAUAGAGAAAGCUUGCUUUUUCUAGGCGUCGACCGGCGCACGGGUGAGUAACGCGUAUCCAACCUGCCCACCACUUGGGGAUAACCUUGCGAAAGUAAGACUAAUACCCAAUGACGUCUCUAGAAGACAUCUGAAAGGGAUUAAAGAUUUAUCGGUGAUGGAUGGGGAUGCGUCUGAUUAGCUUGUUGGCGGGGUAACGGCCCACCAAGGCAACGAUCAGUAGGGGUUCUGAGAGGAAGGUCCCCCACAUUGGAACUGAGACACGGUCCAAACUCCUACGGGAGGCAGCAGUGAGGAAUAUUGGUCAAUGGGCGAGAGCCUGAACCAGCCAAGUAGCGUGAAGGAUGAAGGUCCUACGGAUUGUAAACUUCUUUUAUACGGGAAUAAAGUAUCCUACGUGUAGGAUUUUGUAUGUACCGUAUGAAUAAGCAUCGGCUAACUCCGUGCCAGCAGCCGCGGUAAUACGGAGGAUGCGAGCGUUAUCCGGAUUUAUUGGGUUUAAAGGGAGCGCAGACGGGAGAUUAAGUCAGUUGUGAAAGUUUGCGGCUCAACCGUAAAAUUGCAGUUGAUACUGGUUUCCUUGAGUGCAGUUGAGGCAGGCGGAAUUCGUGGUGUAGCGGUGAAAUGCUUAGAUAUCACGAAGAACCCCGAUUGCGAAGGCAGCUUGCUAAACUGUAACUGACGUUCAUGCUCGAAAGUGUGGGUAUCAAACAGGAUUAGAUACCCUGGUAGUCCACACGGUAAACGAUGGAUACUCGCUGUUGGCGAUAUACUGUCAGCGGCCGAGCGAAAGCAUUAAGUAUCCCACCUGGGGAGUACGCCGGCAACGGUGAAACUCAAAGGAAUUGACGGGGGC
rnacentral:rRNA from 1 species